UGUUUCACUGGUACUUAUUUUAUCAACCCUGAAAGGAUGAAAGGCAAAGUCAACCUCAACAGAAUUUGAACUCAGAAUGUAAAGCCAAAAGAAAUGCCACAAAGCAUUUUGACUGGUGUACUAACUAUUUGGCCAGCUUGCCACCAUCAACAAUUAAAAAAAAUAAAUAAUUAAACAGUGUUUUGCCCUAAAGUAGUCAUUAUUUCAAAAUAUCCAGGACCAUUUUUUAUUAGCUAAAAUUUUAACUCUUCUCAUACCAACUCACCAGAGACUGCUUUUGGUUCUAUAAUAUAAACUUCUUGUUUUUAAGUGAU